UACGUAGGGUGCGAGCGUUAAUCGGAAUCACUGGGCGUAAAGGGUGCGUAGGCGGGUCUUUUAAGUCAGGGGUGAAAUCCUGGAGCUCAACUCCAGAACUGCCUUUGAUACUGAAGAUCUUGAGUUCGGGAGAGGUGAGUGGAACUGCGAGUGUAGAGGUGAAAAUUCGUAGAUAUUCGCAAGAACACCAGUGGCGAAGGCGGCUCACUGGCCCGAUACUGACGCUGAUGCACGAAAAGCGUGGGGGAGCAAAACAGG
rnacentral:rRNA from 1 species